rnacentral:rRNA from 1 species
AACGAACGCUGGCGGCGCGCCUAAUACAUGCAAGUCGAGCGAGAAGACGUAGCAAUACGUUUGUAAAGCGGCGAACGGGUGAGGAAUACAUGGGUAACCUACCCUCGAGUGGGGAAUAACUAGCCGAAAGGUUAGCUAAUACCGCGUACGCUUCUUGGACUUCGGUUCAGGGAGGAAAGCGAUACCGUGGGUAUCGCGCUCUUGGAUGGGCUCAUGUCCUAUCAGCUUGUUGGGAGGUAACGGCUCACCAAGGCUUCGACGGGUAGCUGGUCUGAGAGGACGAUCAGCCACACUGGCACUGCGACACGGGCCAGACUCCUACGGGAGGCAGCAGUAAGGAAUAUUGCGCAAUGGGCGAAAGCCUGACGCAGCGACGCCGCGUGGGGGAUGAAGGUCUUCGGAUUGU